rnacentral:rRNA from 1 species
UUAAAUUGAAGAGUUUGAUCAUGGCUCAGAUUGAACGCUGGCGGCAGGCCUAACACAUGCAAGUCGAACGGUAACAGGGAUCA